rnacentral:tRNA from 2 species
GUCCCCGUAGUUUAACGGAUAGAACAUUGCCCUGCGGAGGCAAGGAUGUGAGUUCAAUUCUCACCGGGGACA